rnacentral:lncRNA from 1 species
GACAUGACCUUGACCUGUGACCUUAUGACCUUUAUCAAAGUCAUUCUUCCCUGAUGUCAUUGCAAAUGAGUGCAUGAGUCUUGGACCUUUGGUUUAAGAGUUAUAUUAAUUAGCUUGUUAUGACAUUUCUGAAACUGUUAACAGCUAGGGGUUAUGCCACUCACGGAGAGGUAAAUUGUCUUUAGUCAAAAUGUAACUAAGUUGCACCUAAAUUACCCAAACAUUUUCAACUACUCAAAAUUCUGUAAGUAUAAUGGUUUUUGAGAUAAUAACAAUAAUAAGGUGUAAGGUCAAAGAUCACCUGAUUUUUUUUUUUAAACACAUACAUGCAUUAAACCCUUAAAAUAAGGUCAAAAAGCACAAAAUCACUAUCUAGCACAUGACCUUGACCUUUGGCAAAGUCAUCGGUUCCUGAUGUCAUUCCAAAAGACCCAAUGUGUUUAAGACCUUUUGUUAAAGCCAGAGAAAAAUAAUUAAUGGUUUCCCCUAACCCGUCCAAGUCUAUUUUAUUUUUUUCUACUGAAUAAAAAAUAAAAAAUUGCUGUGUCUUAAUUAGAUCCAGCAAUGUUAACAAAUAUUUUCAUAUACGUUUCAAAUUUUAUGUUAAGAAACAUUACAAUGUCAAGGUAAUUUAAUUGCUUAACUGAUUGGAAAGAAAUUAUUGAUCUCAAGAGUUCAGCUCACCUGUGAUUCAGAUCACCCAAUAUGGCCAACUUGACUCCAAGC